AUUCUCAUCCAAACAGUGCGGACAACCUGUAGUUCUAUGUGAAACUCAGGGUGGGAAACUGAGCACAGCUGUGCUGAGCAACCCAUCUGCCUGUGCCUGGACACGACACGGCUGCACCUUUGCUGGGCACAAGAAAGGACCAAAACAGCAGAACAAAGGAAAUUUGUACAUCUAAACAGUGACUGCUGAAGACAGAAAGAACCAUAACCACAGAAAAUGGUGAGCUUGGGGAUAGCAGUACAGCUGGAUCGGUUUUCAUCAUGCAGAGCGCUGCCAGCAGGUUACAGUGAGCUGAGCCUGGGAGGGCUGGGUGCCCGCAGGGGCACUUCGAGAAUGAAAAGCGCGUGGAUAAUCCAGGCGGUGAUUGCUUCCUUCCUCCGGCUUUCUGUGGAAUGUCGAGCUGUGUCCCAGCGAGAGCCACUCGAGCACAAGAUGAGCCAGAUGGCAGGAGCAGCAGAAACCAAAGGAGGAGCAUGAAGUGUUUAAGAAUCAGAUUGCUAAAAUGCAGGGAAAACUGAAGCCAAAAACUAGGCCUGGACAAAACAGAGCACCAGAGUGGAAAAACAAGAACAGGAGAAAUGUAGCCAAAAGGCAAAAGAAUAAAAUACAACAGCUC
rnacentral:lncRNA from 7 species